rnacentral:rRNA from 1 species
CCUACGGGUGGCAGCAGUGAGGAAUAUUGGUCAAUGGUCGGGAGACUGAACCAGCCAAGCCGCGUGAGGGAUGAAGGUACAGAGUAUCGUAAACCUCUUUUGUCAGGGAACAAAGGCGGGGACGCGUCCCCGGAUGAGUGUACCUGACGAAAAAGCAUCGGCUAACUCCGUGCCAGCAGCCGCGGUAAUACGGGGGAUGCGAGCGUUAUCUGGAUUUAUGGGGUUUAAAGGGUGCGCAGGCGGUCUGUUAAGUCAGCGGUCAAAGCCCGGGGCUCAACCCCGGCCCGCCGUUGAAACUGGCAGUCUCGAGUUGGGGAGAAGGAUGCGGAAUGCGCGGUGUAGCAGUGAAAUGCAUAGAUAUCGCGCAGAACUCCGAUUGCGAAGGCAGCAUGCCGGCUCCACACUGACGCUGAGGCACGAAGGCGUGGGGAUCGAACAGGAUUAGAUACCCCAGUAGUC